rnacentral:rRNA from 1 species
GGAAGGANGGGNGCAGCCUGAUCAGCCAUGCCGCGAGGAGUGAUGAAGGCCUUAGGGUUGUAAAGCUCUCUUUGUCNGGGACGAUAAUGACGUGUACCGGAAGAAUAAGCCCCGGCUAACUCCGCGCCACCAGCACGCGGUUAAACNCUGGCUCAUUGCGUCGGAGGAAAAGUAAAUUA